CGCGUGAGGAACCUGCCUUGGAGUGGGAAUAACAGCUGGAAACAGCUGCUAAUACCGCAUAAUGCAGUUGGGCCGCAUGGCUCUGACUGCCAAAGAUUUAUCGCUCUGGGAUGGACUCGCGUCUGAUUAGCUAGUUGGUGGGGCAACGGCCCACCAAGGCGACGAUCAGUAGCCGGACUGAGAGGUUGGCCGGCCACAUUGGGACUGAGACACGGCCCAAACUCCUACGGAAGGCAGCAG
rnacentral:rRNA from 1 species